GUGUGAAGGCAAGCUGGCUGUGACAUGUGUCACCCCAUUGAUGUCCAGGGUCAAUUUGGCUGAUCUGGCUGGCGAGGUGGAUGUCCCCUUCUUCUCUCACUGCCUGCUGUGUGUCCAUCCCUAAGCUACAUGCUUUGUCAAAGAAGACAACCAUCCCCAGUAGAGGAGGAUCUGUCAAGGGCAUAUGAGUAGCUGCACUCCCCUGCUAGAACCUCUAAACAAGCUCUCAAGGAGCAUCUGUUGAGUUAGACUGUAUACCAAUCUGACCAACUUACUUUAUAAUCUUAGGCCAUUUGAUCUUCCUGAAUCUUAGCUUAUUCAU
rnacentral:snRNA from 1 species